rnacentral:lncRNA from 1 species
AGAAUUACUGGAAACUAGACUCAUUCAGGUGGCCACCAGAGAAGAAGAGCUAAAUGCCAUAAGAACAGAGAACUCCACCCUGAUGAGACAAGUUCAAGAGUUGAAGGCUAAGUAGAGCCAUCAGGUUUCUUUUGUGUCUCUAAUUGAAGAUCUUAAGAGAGUGACCCAUGAGAAUGAUGGACAGACAGAUCAAGUCUGUGGAAGAGCUUCUAGAAGUUGAACUUCUCAAAGUUGCUAAUAAGGAGAAAACUGUUCAGAUGUCUGUCACUUCUUAAGUCCAGGAGCUGCAGAACUGAUUAAGAGACAAGGAAGAGCAGGUGAACAGCAUGCAAGUUGCUUUAGAAGACAGGGACAGAG